CAGCAGCCACGGUAAUACAGAGGGUGCAAGCGUUAAUCGGAAUUACUGGGCGUAAAGCGCGCGUAGGUGGUUUGUUAAGUUGGAUGUGAAAUCCCCGGGCUCAACCUGGGAACUGCAUCCAAAACUGGCAGGCUAGAGUAGGGCAGAGGGUGGUGGAAUUUCCUGUGUAGCGGUGAAAUGCGUAGAUAUAGGAAGGAACACCAGUGGCGAAGGCGACCACCUGGGCUCAUACUGACACUGAGGUGCGAAAGCGUGGGGAGCAAACAGGAUUAGAUACCCGCGUAGUCCCUGUCUCUUAUAA
rnacentral:rRNA from 1 species